CCGCUUCUUAAACAUUUCUUUAGUUUCUGUAGCGUCGAACUCCUUUAGGUUUCUGAUAGGAUUUCUUUCCCUCUGUAGUUUAGCUGAAGUUCGGCCGACCUUUUCUUUGUUUAGGAAUUUCUAUACAUUCAAGCGUCAUCCCUUGGCAUAGGACUGAUGGUACUUCUCCCCUCAGUUCGGUAGAAAGGGGUUGCUGAAAGGUGCCCCCUCUUCUAUCCAUGA
rnacentral:lncRNA from 1 species